rnacentral:tRNA from 1 species
GCCGGGGUAGCCUAGCCUGGAUUGGGCGCCAGACUCAUAAUCUGGAGGUCGCGUGUUCGAAUCUCGCCCCCGGCACCA